rnacentral:lncRNA from 1 species
UGCUGGCGGGCCGUCCACCGUUGGAUGCCUUGAGCGUUAGUACUAUAGGUGAGGGCCAUCUGCAAUAGAAGUCGGGGGCAAAGUCCGACUCCCGUAGGAGUCCGGACGAAGUCCACUAGCAGUAGAAGUCGAGGAUGAAGUCCGGCUCCCGUAGGGGUCCGGACGAAGUCUGCCUGCAGUAGAAGUCGGGGGCGAAGUCCGACUCCCGUAGGAGUCCGGACGGAGUCUAUCUGCAGUUGAAGUCGCCCUGUAGUUG